rnacentral:rRNA from 1 species
AUGCACGCUGGCGGCGUGCCUAAUCCCUGCAAGUCGAGCGAACAGACGAGGAGCUUGCUCCUCUGACGUUAGCAGCGGACGGGUGAGUAACACGUGGAUAACCUACCUAUAAGACUGGGAUAACUUCGGGAAACCGGAGAUAAUACCGGACAAUAUAUUGAACCGCAUGGUUCAAUAGUGAAAGACGGUUUUGCUUUCACUUAUAGCCGGAUCCGCGCGGCAUUAGCUAGUUGGUAAGGUAACGGCUUACCAAGGCAACGAUGCGUAGGCGACCUGAGAGGGUGAUCGGCCGCACUGGAACUGAGACGCGGUCCAGACUCCUACGGGAGGCAGCAGUAGGGAAUCUUCCGCAAUGGGCGAAAGCCUUACGGAACAACGCCGCGUGAGUGAUGAAGGUCUUCGGAUCGUAAAACUCUGUUAUGAGUGAAGAACAAAUGUGUAAGUAACUAUGCACGUCUUGACGGUACCUAAUCAGAAAGCCACGGCUAACUACGUG